rnacentral:rRNA from 1 species
CCUACGGGAGGCAGCAGUGAGGAAUAUUGGUCAAUGGACGAGAGUCUGAACCAGCCAAGUAGCGUGAAGGAUGACUGCCCUAUGGGUUGUAAACUUCUUUUAUAUGGGAAUAAAAUGUUCCACGUGUGGGAUUUUGUAUGUACCAUAUGAAUAAGGAUCGGCUAACUCCGUGCCAGCAGCCGUGGUAAUACGGAGGAUCCGAGCGUUAUCCGGAUUUAUUGGGUUUAAAGGGAGCGUAGGUGGAUUGUUAAGUCAGUUGUGAAAGUUUGCGGCUCAACCGUAAAAUUGCAGUUGAAACUGGCAGUCUUGAGUACAGUAGAGGUGGGCGGAAUUCGUGGUGUAGCGGUGAAAUGCUUAGAUAUCACGAAGAACUCCGAUUGCGAAGGCAGUUCACUGGACUGCAACUGACACUGAGGCUCGAAAGUGUGGGUAUCAAACAGGAUUAGAUACCCGUGUAGUC